UUUUAAUAGUUUUAAUUCUGUUAUGUUAUUCCAUGUUAUUCCAGUUUAAAAAAAAUUAGUUAAGUAUUGUGUUAUUUUGCAUAAGUCUAGUGGUUUGUUAUAGUUUAGUCUAUUUUGGCCAAUGAUGAGAAUGGGAUUUAGUAGACGAAUAUUAUACUGACUAUUAGAACUUUGAUGUAAUUUUCUGUUAUGAAUUGAAUCUUUUCAUGUUUGAAUCUGGUAUAAUAAGGUUAGCACGUUAGAGACAACUAUGUUGACUGAUUAAGUUUAAAUUGGCACAUAAUGGACUUCUUAAGGAUAAUACUACUUUGAUUGAAUGAAAGACAUGAAUAGGCGGAGAUGGCUAUAUUUAGACAAAAACACAAGUUUGGGGGAAAACUUUGGGAUAUAUAAGCUUUAAAAAAAGAGAGAGAAAAAUGAAUAAAUACCGUGACUAGUCUUGUUUUGGGGCCUUUGUUACUUGAGCAAGUAUGCCCGAAGGGAUUAUCUUUACACCUAGCGUCCUAAGGUCUUUAUGGUUUGGGAGCCAUUGGUCAAAAGCUUGCUAAGGGGUAGCACUGUUAGCCUAAUGGAAUGAGACAUUGUAGAGUCAUAGUUAAAAAAUAAUAAUAAUAUGGGAAUAGAGCAAAAAGCCCCCGUAAUGAUAAGUAAAGCAUAAGUAUCCCGGAUUGGACUCUUGAACUUGGUGGAUGUUUGACUUUAGUUGGAUUUAGCUUGUUCAUGAAUUUUAUGAGUUUACACUAUAUGAUGCCUUUAAAGAGAUCUAUUAUGUGUUAUAUUUAGCAUUAUAUCAGUAAGCAUGGAUGUUGAGCACACACAUUAUACCAGUAAUAACAGUUUAUGAUUUGAUGAUUGAUAGGAAUUAUUGAUUAGUUUUGAUAUGAAGUGUUGUCGUGUUUGCUUGAUUUCUCUGAGGCCGAUUGAACAGACUGGUUUCUAUCGCUACUGUCGGAUUCGUAGGCAUAUAUAUUAGAUGUAUUACAUUGCAUUGUAUAGUACUUUGUUUUUUUUUUGUGCUCGAGGACUAGCACAUGUUUAAGUUUGGGGGAGUUUGAUGAGUAGGUUUUAUACCUUUGAAUCGGCCUUUAAUUCGAACUUAAAUUGGGUUAAUUCUUUAUUUUGAAGAUUAGUUUUACUUGUUUAGUGUUAAUUUAUGUUUAGGUGUGGUGGCAUAGCAUUUGGACUUACAUGGUCGUUUCAUGGCGAAACUUGGCGAGA
rnacentral:lncRNA from 1 species